CUCAAUGGUGGGCUGGAUGGUGGAGCCGAAAGGCUCACCGGUUGGUUACUCCGGUACGCGAACUCCGUCCAGCUCGCCACCCUC
rnacentral:antisense_RNA from 16 species